CACACCCCUGGAAACCCGAUAUGCUGUGAAAAGUUGGAUGUGCUUGGAAAAGUUGCCGAUACAAUUUGCUGAAUUUCGGUAAGGAAAAAGCCCGUGGGUGAAAGGGGCGGCACAUGGCUCUGAUUUACUACCGGCGUUUGGAUACCCGGCCGCCAUGAUGGCAGAGGCGGGUAUUUCCGGUGACGAUCUGGAGAAAGAAGAUUUUGUCAUGUCAGAAAAUAUGCUGAUAUGGAUAUCGAAUUUUAUUAAAACUGGAGACCCGAACAGGCCAAUCCCCCUGAUGUCUGCAGACGACCGACCGAUCAUUUGGACGGAGUACCGAGAUGAAAGACCAUACCUCCAGCUCGCGAACAAUAUGACGUCAUUGACGUCACACGGGUCACGUUUUGGCGAACCAGCGACUGCCUUUUUGACAACGUUAGUUCCGGUUCUUCUCGGGAGCGCUCUGACUAUUCCCGGAAAUACCACAACGAAAGCAGUUGACAAACAAGUGUUUACCGCACUUCGCAUCACUCAAGACAAAGUUGAAAGUGUCAUACUUUCUCUCAUUUUAGUCAUGUGUGGCCUAUUUUUGAUUAUCGUAUUUUUGCUAGCUUGUGUUUUUAGAUACAUUAUAUAAUUCAUUUAAGGCGGAGUAAACGGAAUACUUACAUUUAUAUUUGCUAAGAUCUUAUUGCUGGUGCUAUUUUUUUAAUUGAA